rnacentral:sRNA from 1 species
ACAACGCGGCGGCACGACGGAAAGACGGCUUCUCCUACUACUUACUCCAUGAUUGCGUGGACACGGUUCGGCGGGAUAUGGAAGAUCGAUCUGGUCCCCCAAUCCAAACAUCACAUUUUUGGCUCUCUUCCUCUCUCCUGAAUUUUGUGUGGUCGUCCCCUCGCACCGCACGGGGAGAAAGCCGGUGCGUUGUGAUAACCAUUAGGGAACUAGUCAAUACUUAUUUAUUACAUACAGAAUCAAUCUUUAAACUUUAGGGGCCUGCCUAAUUAGAUACUACUUUUAGCCGGUCUAGCACCAUUGCACAGGUGCCAGUAUACCCUGAUUGUGAAACAAACUUGCUCUCAAUGCACUUUUUGGGGUUGAAGUAAUUUACUCAUACUUCUUUCAUUCUUGAGCUUCGGUUUGCCUCAUCCUGUCUUGUCCUUGCUCACUAGGAUCCCAUGGCGUUCACCUGGGCCAUAAGACAGAAAUAGCGGAAGGUGUUGGAAGGGUUGGGGGGUCUUGCUUGAAUUGUGAGGAUUCAGGUACGAUUAGACUCCCGGAAAGACAUCUGCAAUUCUGACGGACCCGAUUUCAAAUGAGCCGUGGCAUCUUCUGAUGUAAUCGCUGGUGCAGUCUCACUGUCUCCUCUGCCCUCUUGCUUCCCACUCAUCCAUGACAUUAUCCCAGAUGUCGCUCUCCUUACCGAUAUCGCUAUCAUCGCUAGACUCCGCAAGAUCAUCAUCCUCUUCUCCAAGUGUACUAAAUUCUGAUUUUCUCUUUUUGGAUGUCGCGCUCUUCGAACCGCUGCCACUGUAGUUGGCCUUAAGCUGUGCCCCGCUUAGAUACUCUGCCUUCCACACCGUCUGAGUUUUCUCGACGCCAGUUGACACUUCGAGGUGAAUAACAUUGCGGGGGUCACCGGUUGUAACGAAGGGCUUCACAAACAGAAGAAUGGCCCAAGCGAACCGAGCAAAGAGAUAAGGACGGGAGUCGUUUUCAAGGUAUUGGACUAUGGUGUUGUGGUAGGUCGGCCAGUAUUCAGCAGCAUUAUUGGAAAGUAUGUGUGAUACGUAGUAUGCUGAACGAGUACUGGUAUCCGUCUCAUGCGCGCCUCCUCCCCCAGCAAUCUUUGGUACGAUAACGAACCAUCGUUUGUCGAAGCAUUUAUGAAUAUCCGGUCUAAGCGGAAGGAGAUUCGCUGGAUUAUCAAUAUCUCCCAAGUCUCUACCAUAUCGGUACAUCCCAUUUAUAGAGUACCAGAGCUCUUCUUCCUUCGGCACGAGGUGUGCUUCUUCAGUGCAUAUCGAGAAGUUGGUGAUGCCACAGCGAGGCCCAGUGGUUUCAGGAAAUACGGAUGCGGGGCCCCAAGUAUCUGGGAUGCGGUCGUGCGGGAACUCCCAGUCCUGGAAACUGGGGACAAUGGGGUAUAUGCCUAGUAGAAAUGGAUCAGAACAGCGAUGAGAAGGUGGAGAAGUUUGCAUACUCGCGCAAGCGUCAACCAGAAAAUAAUAAGCUGGGUCCGUCAGAACUCCAUCAAGUGGGACAGUCACAGGGUGUUGACCAUCUUUAUCAUGACAAAGGCGGCUAGUUUCAAACGCGUUGUUUCCGAUGAUCUGGCAGGCAAUCAAGGCGGUUUGGUGGUGAACUCCAAAGGUGUGAGGAGCUAUUUGAUCAACACGCGGAAGGGUCAGGAGAAUAUUGCGGGGUGCUUCAUAGCCAGGAUGCAAGAAAUAGAUAUUUUCGGAUAUUGAUCUUUCUACAGGAGGGAUCGGGGACGCAUGGAACUCAGACAGACUUCCAUCAGGCAUUUUGAAGGAUAUAGCGGCAGUAGUGAGAUAGAAGAAUAGAGGUCGUGGAGUGGAGAGUUCUACGGGUUGGCCAUGGUUAACUCUUUUGGUUGUUCUCGAUUCCUACGGAAGGAGCAGUUGUUACGUCACUAGGGCAAAAGAGCUCACUCACCACUACCCAAUCCAAUCCCGCCAACGGCAGUGGAUACUAACAAGAACUCUAUUAAUAAGCAUCAGCUGUUUGAUAAACAGAACCUAACUAGCAGGC